rnacentral:rRNA from 1 species
UUCGGGACGCUGGCGAGUGGCGAACGGGUGCGUAACGCGUGGAAACCUGCCCCGAGGUGUGGGACAACAGUUGGAAACGACUGCUAAUACCGCAUAAGCCUUACGAGGGAAAGGCGCAAGUCGCCUUGGGAGGGGUCCGCGUCGGAUUAGCUAGUUGGUGGGGUAAAGGCCUACCAAGGCGAUGAUCCGUAGUUGGUCUGAGAGGAUGAUCAGCCACACUGGGACUGAGACACGGCCCAGACUCCUACGGGAGGCAGCAGUGGGGAAUAUUGCGCAAUGGGAGAAAUCCUGACGCAGCGAUACCGCGUGGGUGAAGAAGGUCUUCGGAUUGUAAAGCCCUUUCAGCAGGAAAGAUGAUGACGGUACCUGCAGAAGAAGCCCCGGCUAACUCCGUGCCAGCAGCCGCGGUAAUACGGAGGGGGCGAGCGUUGUUCGGAAUGACUGGGCGUAAAGGGCGCGUAGGCUGCUCUGCAAG